CGCAGUAGAGCUGCAGCCGUCAGAGUUGGAACGAGCGCGGCCGGUUCGGAGGCCGGGCGGCUGGUUCCGCUGGCAGCCCCCCCCCCGCCCGAGCUGGGGAGGCCGCGGGGCCCCAUGGCUGCCGUGUUCCUGGUGACGCUCUACGAAUACUCCCCGCUCUUCUACAUCGCUGUGGUGUUUGUCUGCUUCCUGGUCACCAGCGGCCUGGUGCUGGGCUGGUUUGGUUGGGAUGUUCCUGUGAUACUGAGAAAUUCAGAAGAAAUAGAAUCCAGCGUAAGAAUAUCCAAAAAGCAGAUGAGACAAGUGAAGAAUCCUUUUGGCCUAGAAAUUCCGCAUCCUGCUGCAGUUUCCAUAACAAGGGGUAUAACACUGACACCUGAUUGUCUGGAAGACUGUAUCCUUACAUGCUACUGGGGAUGCAGUGUUCAAAAACUACAUGAAGCUUUGCAGAAACACGUCUAUUGCUUCAGAAUAAAGACUCCGCAGGCACUAGAAGAUGCUCUCUACAGCGAAUAUAUCUAUCGACAGCAGUAUUUCAUUAAAAAAACCAACAAGGAAGAAAAAUACUGUCAGUUGCCAGAAGAUGCUCAAAUUGCAGGCUUUGGCCCAGUGCCUAGAUCUCGUUACCCACUGGUAGCUUUGUUGACUUUAGCUGAUGAAGAAAACAGAGAAAUAUACGACAUUAUUUCAAUGGUGUCCGUAAUUCAUAUUCCCGAUGAGAGUUACAGACUUUCCUGCAGAAUAUUAUAUCAGUAUCUACUUCUGGCGCAAGGUCAAUUCCAUGACCUUAAGCAACUCUUUAUGUCUGCAAGCAGCAGUGCCCCGCCCUCGAGCAAUGCCUCUGGAGACAGCAGCACUGACAAAAGCUUGCUGGAAAAGGUUGGACUGGCCGAAGUUGAAUCAGAAUUACAUGAGGAAAACAGUAAAGACUGUGUCGUCUGCCAGAACGGAACGGUGAACUGGGUCCUCCUGCCCUGCAGGCAUACGUGUCUGUGCGAUGGGCGCAUCUAGAGACACCAGCUGAGAUCUGGCCCCAUUGUGCUGCGUGCUGUGAAUACACAUAACCAGCUCGGAACAGCUAGCAAUCUACAUAGACAAAUACAAAUACAGGUGUAGAGAGCUUAUUCUUCUUCAAGUGCUUGCACAUGUCCAACGGAUACCACUAAGGGAAACAUCUCCGACAGCUGUGCUCAGGGUGCUUGCACACCUAAAUCAGAAUGGACACGUGCAACACAUCUCAAAGAACAUGUUACAAAAGUGAGAUCAGACAUGUGGGUUCUGAUGUGAUGGACACCACGGUACGCGUCUACGUACAUAGAUAUGCUGUCAUUUAGUGUCAUCUGAGGUGAGCAAUGGUUUCCAUUUAACUCAUAUUAGAAAUUUUUUCCUACUAUCUGGGCAUCAAUGGGAGUUAGGCACAUAAAUAUCUUUGAAAAUCUGGGCCAUAGUGAUGCAUCACUUGAGCUGAUUGUUUCCAGCCAAUUAUGCACCAGGGUAUUUCUUUUGUAUGUAACAAUAACACUUCUGUUUUAAAAAUUGCCAUAAACACCUACAGUCAUGAUUAAAAAGCAUAUAGGUGUAACAAUAGCACGGCAGUGCUUUGGCUUCCUACUGUGGGUCAGCCCCAUAUUUCUUUUUAUAAGGGUAUGUAUCUCACCAGGGCAUUGCGAGAGUUAAUUAAUUAGUGUUUAUCAAGUGUCCUGAGCUCCUUCAGAUGAUAGUUGCAAUGGUUUAUGAAUAAUAGUGAUAAGUAUUACUUUAUUUAUUUGUGUUGCAGAAGGGCAAUAGAUUAGUAUUUCCACAAAUGUGGCAAAAUGUAAAACUUCAUUGGAGUAGCCCCAAACCCAAGAUCAGCCAUUGGUAAAACUGUGCUAUGUAACUAUGAGCGAACUCUUGAUGUUAGGUGUUCUGUCUUGAGCUCAUUGUACUAUGGAUGAAUAUAGUUUAUUAUCCCUUGUAAUAUGUUCCUAUGCAAGAUGUGCACACAAACCCAGCAGAUGGUGUAUCCUCUCAGCUCCAGUUGCCAUUCGUCAACACGUUAUAACUGUAUGAGUUCUGUCAGCACCAAUGUAAGGAAAUGGGAGAUUCUUUGAUUGACCAUUUAUUAUGACUGAGUUAUAGGUUUAACAGAUGGCUCCAUUUUGUUGGCAGGGAACAUUUCAUGUUUGUUUAAUUAGCUGCAAGUCAUAUUGAAAACUAAAGCAUGUUACAUGCAGAUACAUAAGCGUGUCUGUGAGAUGGAUCUUUCGUGCGGGAUGUAUAGGGAGUUGUUGGAAAGUGCAUUUCAUACAACAGAGUUCCUGACUGGAUUUCGUAUCCUCAAAUAUAAACCUCUUGAAAAAUGGAGGCUAGUGCAUUCAUUGGUUGACUAGAAGUCCUUAUCUCACUGACGGUAAGAUUUACGGCAAUCAUUUUCUCCCUUUAAGGGAUGGCUGCAUAUAGUUUCAUUAUUUUAAAUCAAGGCCUAGACAGUGUCAUGAAUUUCCCUUGCAAUGCUAACGAAUGGCGAAGAUAGACUUGGAGAAAGCACUGUGCUAGGUUCAAUUCCCAGUUCAGCCACAGACUACGUGGUUUUGCGUAAGUCACUUAACUUAUCUGUGCCUCACUUUUUCUAGCUCCUUCCCUGCCACACAGAGGGGAAGAUAGUGACUCCUGCUGCUUAGGUUCCCUGUUUGAAAAGCACUGUAAGACUCUGAGAUGGAAGAGGCCGUUGAGGUGCCCAUGGUAUUAUGACGAUGAAGCACAAGCAGUGCAUGGAUUCCAUGUUUCAUAUUUUUCCGCUGUGCUCCCUUGGGAGACAAUAAUUAAAACUUUCGUGUAUUUGUA